rnacentral:lncRNA from 1 species
UACAAAAAGGGCAAAGGAUAGAGCCGCUGCUCCCCAGACGACUCAAAAUGACUUUCAUGUGGAACACAGGAGGAGUGAGAAGGGCCUCCCAUUUAUUUACCAUCUACUAAGACGUUGUGUCCCUGUCACGUACCAGGUGCAUUAGUAAGGGACACACUGGGGUCCAAAUCCUGGCGUGGCCACUAACAAGCGAUGCAGCGUCAGGCCAGUGACCAUUUGUGACCUCUAGUUUUCAUCUAUGAAAGGAGUGCCUCUACUCUGGACAUCCAGGGACUUCGGAGAGCUGGAAGCAUAAGGACUGUGCAAUGACAGAAUCUGUGUUUUCUACCACACCCUGCCUGUGAAUAGUCCUAAUAUUUAAAAAGUGAGUAAACGGC